GCAUAUCAAUAAGCGGAGGAAAAGAAACCAACCGGGAUUGCCUCAGUAACGGCGAGUGAAGCGGCAAGAGCUCAAAUUUGAAAGCUGGCCCCUUCGGGGUCCGCGUUGUAAUUUGCAGAGGAUGCUUUGGGUGCGGCCCCCGUCUAAGUGCCCUGGAACGGGCCGUCAGAGAGGGUGAGAAUCCCGUCUUGGGCGGGGUGUCCGUGCCCGUGUAAAGCUCCUUCGACGAGUCGAGUUGUUUGGGAAUGCAGCUCUAAAUGGGUGGUAAAUUUCAUCUAAAGCUAAAUACUGGCCGGAGACCGAUAGCGCACAAGUAGAGUGAUCGAAAGAUGAAAAGCACUUUGAAAAGAGAGUUAAACAGCACGUGAAAUUGUUGAAAGGGAAGCGCUUGCGACCAGACUCGCCCUCGGGGUUCAGCCGGCACUCGUGCCGGUGUACUUCCCCGGGGGCGGGCCAGCGUCAGCUUGGGCGGCCGGUCAAAGGCCUCCGGAAUGUAGUGCCCCCCGGGGCACCUUAUAGCCGGAGGUGCAAUGCGGCCAGCCUGGGCUGAGGAACGCGCUUCGGCACGGACGCUGGCAUAAUGGUCGCAAACGACCCGUCUUGAAACACGGACCAAGGAGUCUAACAUCUACGCGAGUGUUCGGGUGUCAAACCCGUACGCGCAGUGAAAGCAAACGGAGGUGGGAGCCCCCUCGCGGGGCGCACCAUCGACCGAUCCUGAUGUCUUCGGAUGGAUUUGAGUAAGAGCGUAAAUGUGGGGACCCGAAAGAUGGUGAACUAUGCCUGAAUAGGGCGAAGCCAGAGGAAACUCUGGUGGAGGCUCGCAGCGGUUCUGACGUGCAAAUCGAUCGUCAAAUUUGGGUAUAGGGGCGAAAGACUAAUCGAACCAUCUAGUAGCUGGUUCCUGCCGAA
rnacentral:rRNA from 1 species